GGGGGCGCCGCAGCCCUGCCUCUCCGGAGGUUCGGGGCGCCCGCCGGAGGUACGAAACUCUGUAUUAUAGUGGCAUCUCUGAGUAUAAAACAAAUAAGUUAAAACUUUCAACAACGGAUCUCUUGGUUCUGGCAUCGAUGAAGAACGCAGCGAAAUGCGAUAAGUAAUGUGAAUUGCAGAAUUCAGUGAAUCAUCGAAUCUUUGAACGCACAUUGCGCCCGGUAGUACUCUACCGGGCAUGCCUGUUCGAGCGUCAUUUCAACCCUCAAGCCCUGCUUGGUGUUGGGGCCCUACGGCUGCCGUAGGCCCUGAAAGGAAGUGGCGGGCUCGCUACAACUCCGAGCGUAGUAAUUCAUUAUCUCGCUAGGGAGGUUGCGGCGUGCUCCUGCCUUUAAAGACCCAUCUUUAACCAAGGUUGACCUCGGAUCAGGUAGGAAUACCCGCUGAACUUAAGCAUAUCAAUAAGCGGAUCUCGGAUGCGUGUUAGGAGCGCAUUUAUCACCACCGUCGGUGGGGUGGGGGGCCUCCGAC
rnacentral:rRNA from 1 species